GAUCACCGCUCGUAUAUAUCCAUCGGCUCCCAACCCAUAUUCGCCCUCGCCUCACGCACACGCCCCUCUCCCAGCGCUCUCCACACCCAUCUUUGUUUUCUCCCUCCCCGCGCCCCCCUCGCAGCCACCAGCCAGCCAUGUCCUGCGGUGACGCCAAGAUCAACUGUCCCGCGCCGCCCUUCGAGGAGGUGGCGCUCAUGCCCAACGGCAGCUUCAAGAAGAUCAGCCUCGCCGCCUACAAGGGCAAGUGGGUCGUGCUCUUCUUCUACCCGCUCGAUUUCAGCUUCGUGUGCCCGACAGAGAUCAUCCAGUUCUCUGAAAACGUGAGUCGCUUCAACGAGCUCAACUGCGAGGUCCUCGCGUGCUCCAUGGACAGCGAGUACGCGCACCUGCAGUGGACGCUGCAGGACCGCAAGAAGGGCGGCCUCGGCACCAUGGCGAUUCCAAUGCUGGCCGACAAGACCAAGAGCAUCGCUCGUGCCUACGGCGUGCUGGAGGAGAAACAGGGCGUGGCCUACCGCGGUCUCUUCAUCAUCGACCCCAAUGGCAUGGUGCGCCAGAUCACCGUCAACGACAUGCCGGUGGGCCGCAACGUGGAGGAGGUUCUGCGCCUGCUGGAGGCUUUUCAGUUCGUGGAGAAGCACGGCGAGGUGUGCCCCGCGAACUGGAAGAAGGGCGACCCUGGCCUGAAGGUCGAUCACAAUAAGUAAGGAGCAGAUGUUGCGGCUUACCUCUCUCUCACAGCUGGGCGUACACACCCCGGCUCUUUAGCCUCCCUUCCCUAUUUCAACACAGUUCUAUAGUUUUUUUUUUCUUUUUUUUCCGCGAGCGCCGCUGCUUGCUGAAGGAGGAGGUGCGUAGGUGUGCUCUCACGCCCCUGUGUUCGUGGGCUUCUGUGCCUGCCGUGCCGAUGCGCACACUCACACGCGCAGCCCUCACCACCACGACCGCCGACACCACCCACACCCUUUCCUCCCAACGUCCCCUCUGCCGCUACAAGAGAUCCCCAGGCACGGGUACCUACUUGCUUCCCUUCAUUUCUUCUGUUUUCUUUGUCCUCUGAUGCCUUAUAUAUUUAUAUGCGGCGCGUGUACCCACUGUGCACGCGUUUGGUGUACGCGACAGACUGAGCGUGUCUGCAGGUGAGCCAGAGCGUGUGCGUGCGUGGCAACAUACACGAUAUACAUGUACAUGCACUCCCCCCCCCCAAAAAAAAAAACACCACCCUAAACCUGCAGACACGCCAGCACAAGCACAAGGCCCGCCCACCUCUUCUCCAUACGCCGACGUCUACUGGAGCUCGGCGCAGGAAAUCCACGCUUUACACGACCUCCCUCUUAGCUUUCACCUGUCUUUGCGUGAUUUGUGCUCGCUCUCUCCUCAUCGUGUCCCUCAGCCGGGGGUGCACACACUAAACAACGGCUCCUGCUCAGCACACAGCACGUGCCUCGGAUGCGGCGUCACGUGGGAUGGCCCGUAGCCGCCUCUCCGUGUUCGAUGUGCCUACGCGCGGGUCAACGCACACAAGCAUCCCCACCACUCUGCCACUUCCUC
rnacentral:misc_RNA from 1 species